rnacentral:rRNA from 1 species
AUUGAACGCUGGCGGCAGGCCUAACACAUGCAAGUCGAACGAGUGGCGGACGGGUGAGUAAUGUAGGGGAAACUGCCUGAUGGAGGGGGAUAACUACUGGAACCGGUAGCUAAUACCGCAUACUAUCGGUUGAGCCCAGAUGGGAUUAGCUAGUAGGUGGGGUAAAGGCUCACCUAGGCGACGAGCCCUAGCUGGUCUGAGAGGAUGAACAGCCACACGGGAACUGAGACACGGUCCAGACGCCUACGGGAGGCAGCAGUGGGGAAUAUGGCACAAUGGGCGCAAGCCUGAUGCAGCCAUGCCGCGUGUAUGAAGAAGGCCUUCGGGUUGUAAAGUACUUUCAGCGGGGAGGCGUUACCCGCAGAAGAAGCACCGGCUAACUCCGUGCCAGCAGCCGCGGUAAUAC